GGCCUCGUGGCCCAAUGGCAAGGCGUCUGACUACGACUGUCGAUGACUGACAGCUGAUUCCAGCUGCAGGUCACGAUUUCUUAUCAGGAGAUUCUGGGUUCGACCCCCAGCGAGGUCA